rnacentral:lncRNA from 1 species
AGGAGGGCGUUUCGUUCGGUGGAGAAACCCUACAAAAGUAAAUGUUUCUCUUUUUUUCAUUUCUUAAAAUUAAAGUGUAUUUCUUUUUUAAAAAAAUUAUAGUUUAGUUCUUAGUGAUAGCAAAAUAGUAAAUUUGAAUGUUUCAAGAGUUAUUCUGGUUAUUUCAAAAUUAUAUGAGUUAUUUUAGUCAUUUCAUUAAUUAGUGUCGUUUGAAGUAAUUUCUCUUGUUUUUAUAUGUA